UACAGAGGUCCCAAGCGUUGUUCGGAUUCAUUGGGCGUAAAGGGCGCGUAGGCGGUCUGCUAAGUUGGAUGUGAAAACUCUGGGCUUAACCCAGAGCCUGCAUUCAAUACUGACAGGCUAGAGUUCUGGAGGGGAUAGCGGAAUUCCUGGUGUAGCGGUGAAAUGCGUAGAUAUCAGGAGGAACACCGGUGGCGAAGGCGGCUAUCUGGACAGAGUCUGACGCUGAGGCGCGAAAGCUAGGGGAGCAAACAGG
rnacentral:rRNA from 1 species